rnacentral:lncRNA from 1 species
GUAAUUUGAGAUUAUAUUUAAGGUUUUUUUGUAGCUUGAUUUGAUUUGAUUGAGAUUAUUAGAGUCUAAAUCCAUAACAUACUAUAUUGAUAAAAACACAGUGUAGUAGAAUUAGAGGAACAUAAUUGAAUUGGAUAUUAUAGUUUUAUGAUGUUAUCGGAACGCCUCUCUUUUUCGAGUAAAUCGUAGUUUAUAAUAUUAAAAGAAAACUUUUUAUAAUAGUUAUGAUGAUAGAACUUUUUUAGAUUUUUUAUUAAUGUCAUGCACGAUCACACACACCAAAUUUAAUGUGGAGCACACGUCGCACGUGGAUGACCGUUUUGAAAAUGUUUACUUACAGUAGACCUAAAGGAACUAGUCGGAGUUUUUUCACGUUUUUAUUAUUAUUUAUUUUUUACAGCUUCUUCCUUCAGGCUCUUUCAGUUUCCUGGUUUGCUUGCGUGAUGAAGGGAUUAAAUGCGAUGACUUCACUUCUAGGAAAACGGGCAGUUUAUUUGUUUUUUCUUCUUCCCCUCCAUAAUGAUAAUUUUAAAGUGGAUUUUCGCUUCUUGUUUAUAUUUAUAUAAACACGUUUUGUUAUAGACAUUUUUAUCAAUUAAAGAAAUGUAUUGUUAACUGAUUUUGCUUUUUCCGUUUAGCGAAGUUCAAGAAACGUAAAUUAUCAGAUCAUGUAUCGUUGCUUG